rnacentral:rRNA from 1 species
AUUGAACGCUGGCGGCAGGCCUAACACAUGCAAGUCGAACGGUAACAGGAAGCAGCUUGCUGCUUUGCUGACGAGUGGCGGACGGGUGAGUAAUGUCUGGGAAACUUCCUGAUGGAGGGGGAUAACUACUGGAAACGGUAGCUAAUACCGCAUAACGUCGCAAGACCAAAGAGGGGGACCUUAAGGCCUCUUGCCAUCGGAUGUGCCCAGAUGGGAUUAGCUAGUAGGUGGGGUAACGGCUCACCUAGGCGACGAUCCCUAGCUGGUCUGAGAGGAUGACCAGCCACACUGGAACUGAGACACGGUCCAGACUCCUACGGGAAGCAGCAGUGGGGAAUAUUGCACAAUGGGCGCAAGCCUGAUGCAGCCAUGCCGCGUGUAUGAAGAAGGCCUUCGGGUUGUAAAGUACUUUCAGCGGGGAGGAAGGGAGUAAAGUUAAUACCUUUGCUCAUUGACGUUACCCGCAGAAGAAGCACCGGCUAACUCCGUG